GAAACAAUAAAACACUCGACCAA
rnacentral:snRNA from 1 species